rnacentral:rRNA from 1 species
GACGAACGCUGGCGGCGUGCUUAACACAUGCAAGUCGAACGGAAAGACCCUGCUUUUGUGGGGUGCUCGAGUGGCGAACGGGUGAGUAACACGUGAGUAACCUGCCCUUGACUUUGGGAUGACUUCAGGAAACUGGGGCUAAUACCGGAUAGGAGCUCCUGCUGCAUGGUGGGGGUUGGAAAGUUUCGGCGGUUGGGGAUGGACUCGCGGCUUAUCAGCUUGUUGGUGGGGUAGUGGCUUACCAAGGCUUUGACGGGUAGCCGGCCUGAGAGGGUGACCGGCCACAUUAGGACUGAGAUACGGCCCAGACUCCUACGGGAGGCAGCAGUGGAGAAUAUUGCACAAUGGGCGGAAGCCUGAUGCAGCAACGCCGCGUGCGGGAUGACGGCCUUCGGGUUGUAAACCGCUUUCGCCUGUGACGAAGCGUGAGUGACGGUAAUGGGUAAAGAAGCACCGGCUAACUACGUG